rnacentral:tRNA from 1 species
GGAGAGAUAGCGAAGAGGCUAAACGCGGCGGACUGUAAAUCCGCUCCUUCGG